rnacentral:pre_miRNA from 1 species
AAAAAGUUAAACUAUAGGUUUCCAUGUCUAAUUUUAACUAUCCGUCUUAUAUAAAAUAUUUUAUAAUUCAUAUUUUCAUUGUUGUUAGAUGAUAAAACAUGAUUAAUAUUUUAUGCAUGACUUGUCUUUUUAAGUUUUUUAUAAUUUUUUUAAAUAAGACGGACGGUCAAACGUUGGACACGAAAACCAGAGUUUGUCUUUUU